rnacentral:rRNA from 1 species
AUGGCGGCGACCACCAUCGAGCAGUACGACCGACACCUCCAGUUCGAGUACCACAAGAUCAUCGGAGUUGAUGUGGAGUACACCAACGACCAUCGCAAAGAUCAGAAACCCGCCCUCGUCCAGCUCUCCGUCGGCAAGGAUCAUCCGGUGUUGCUCUUCCAAUUGAGAGCCGCCGAUAAGAACUGCACCAAGUUCGACAACUUCCUUGCCGACCCUAGGUACACAUUUGCUGGCUUCUCCAUUGACGGCGACAUAGAGAUGCUCGGCCGUGUCGGGCUGGAGAUCACCCACUUCGUUGAUAUCUAG